GAUGAACGCUGGCGGCGUGCCUAAUACAUGCAAGUCGAGCGAACAGACGAGGAGCUUGCUCCUCUGACGUUAGCGGCGGACGGGUGAGUAAAACGUGGAUAACCUACCUAUAAGACUGGGAUAACUUCGGGAAACCGGAGCUAAUACCGGAUAAUAUAUUGAACCGCAUGGUUCAAUAGUGAAAGACGGUUUUGCUGUCACUUAUAGAUGGAUCCGCGCCGCAUUAGCUAGUUGGUAAGGUAACGGCUUACAAAGGCAACGAUGGGUAGCCGACCUGAGAGCGUGAUCGCGCACGCUGGAACUGAGACACGAUCCAGACGCCUACGGGAGGCAGCAGUAGGGAAUCUUCCGCAAGGGGCGAAAGCCUGACGGAGCAACGCCGCGUGAGUGAUGAAGAUCUUCAGAUCGUAAAACUCUGUUAUUAGGGAAGAACAAAUGUGUAAGUAACUAUGCACGUCUUGACGGUACCUAAUCAGAAAGCCACGGCUAGCUACGUG
rnacentral:rRNA from 1 species